GCUGCCCCUGCGGGCCAGUUGCAGCGCGGAUCCCGCUCCAGGGUUGACCUGGGAGGAAUUCCCCGUUAUCCAUCCAAAGACUUCCCUCCCAAGGAGCGCCUGCCCCCUGCAAUGAGGCUCUGCAUCCUGUUGCACAUAAUUGGGCCCUGAAUUUUAUGUAAAUCACGUGUGAACGGCAUCGGGCUUUCCAACUUCUGUUACACAACAUGGAGUUCUUGUUUGGCGGAGCAGAAACAAAUCUGACUAGGAACCAUGAGGACUCCAGCCUGGAGACACAGAUUUGAAGAAGCACUUGAAUUGUGUUCUGAUGAUUACAAAAUGAGAGAGGCUUACAAAACCGAAAGAAGUUGCAUCAAGUUGAUAUCAAGAAUUGCUGGGAGCCACAAAGUGGCUAAGAAGAACAAUCCUGCGUGAGGCCUAACUGUAAGCAAAGCUACAGCAGAGACUGAAGAAACUGAAGCUGCAAAGCAGUUUCGAAGAAUCCCCCAGCUGAUGCUGUUUAGUAAAAAUUCCUGAAAUAUGAUUUCCUCUUCUAUUCUUGCGCUUCUUUCCUGUCUGACGUUUAUGUGUGUUGUGAGUCAUCCUUGGCUCAUAAUAUGGGAACCUUCUCAAAUUCCUGAGCGUCACCCAAGCAUGGGCCAUUACCUACUUAUAAACCUAAGCCCUUGUCAAAUAGGUUGAAAACAAUUGAACUACGCAUAAAGAACUUUCCUAAGAAUGGGAAGUUUCCUUUCAGAGGAGUAAUAGUAAAUAUUACGCAGAACUGCCACAUAAGCCUGGGGAUUUUGUUGGACUUUGGUCCGUCCCCAUGGAGACAGAUUAGGGGGUGGUUUCGGUGUUGCCCAUGGCCCAACAAUUGUGGAUACUAUGAGGCAAGAUAUUUUUUUCUACAGUAAAUGCUACCUGUUGGGACCCAGCAGGAGGAAAUUAUUAUAAUUGGCAAGAUUCUUAUGAUAUAUAGAUUUUAUAAUUAAUAAAGAUUUCUGUAAUAGGUAAGGUUUAUUUAAGACAGUUUAUGUUCCCACAACCUGUUAAUGGUCUGAGGCCAGCCUGACCUCGAAAGCAAGCCAUGUGUGAAUACCCCACUCCCCAUUAAUGGCUGUUCAUGCCUGCUAGAGGAGCACAAUAGGUAGCUUGAGGCAAGAAUAUCACCUUAUGCCAAAUCAUUGUUAAAGCAAAAAUUAGAUACCUAUUAUUCUGCUUGCUAUUAACUUAUUUUCUAAGAAUAAAGUACAGUUUGUACGUAUUUUUUAUGUAAUCUUUAAAAUUUAAAAGAAUAGUUUGGAAUAAUAAAUUAGCAUAUAUUGUUGUUUUGUAUAAUCAUGCACAAGAGUAAAAUGUAUAAAAGCUGAUGCUCUUCUUUCAAUAAAUGGGUCAUCUGCAGCACUU
ensembl:lncRNA uncharacterized LOC102162631